GUGUUCGCAUCAUCAGCACACGUACUAAAACUGAAAGAGUAAGUGAAGAUUAGCAUGGCCCCUGUGAAAGGAUGACGUGCAAAUUCGUGAAGCGUGCCACAUUUUU